UACGAAGGGGGCAAGCGUUGUUCGGAAUGACUGGGCGUAAAGGGCGCGUAGGCGGCGCGAUAAGUCAAAGGUGAAAUCCCUCGGCUCAACUGAGGAACUGCCUUUGAAACUGUCGUGCUUGAGGCCGGGAGGGGGUAGCGGAAUUCCCAGUGUAGCGGUGAAAUGCGUAGAUAUUGGGAGGAACACCAGUGGCGAAGGCGGCUACCUGGACCGGUUCUGACGCUGAUGCGCGAAAGCGUGGGUAGCAAACAGG
rnacentral:rRNA from 1 species